GAUGAAGAACGCAGCGAAAUGCGAUAAGUAAUGUGAAUUGCAGAAUUCCGUGAAUCAUCGAGUCUUUGAACGCACAUUGCGCCCCCUGGUAUUCCGGGGGGCAUGCCUGUCCGAGCGUCAUUGCUGCCCAUCAAGCGCGGCUUGUGUGUUGGGUCCUCGUCCCCCCCGGGGGACGUGCCCGAAAGGCAGCGGCGGCACCGCGUCCGGUCCUCGAGCGUAUGGGGCUUUGUCACCCGCUCUGCAGGCCCGGCCGGCGCUGGCCGACGCGAAAGCAACCAUUUUUUCUCCAGGUUGACCUCGGAUCAGGUAGGGAUACCCGCUGAACUUAAGCAUAUCAAUAAGCGGAGGA
rnacentral:misc_RNA from 1 species